rnacentral:rRNA from 1 species
CCCUUAGGUCAGCGGCGGACGGGUGAGUAACACGUGCGUAACCUGCCUGUAAGACUGGGAUAACUCCGGGAAACCGGGGCUAAUACCGGAUGCUUGAUUGAACCGCAUGGUUCAAUCAUAAAAGGUGGCUUUUAGCUACCACUUACAGAUGGACCCGCGGCGCAUUAGCUAGUUGGUGAGGUAACGGCUCACCAAGGCGACGAUGCGUAGCCGACCUGAGAGGGUGAUCGGCCACACUGGGACUGAGACACGGCCCAGACUCCUACGGGAGGCAGCAGUAGGGAAUCUUCCGCAAUGGACGAAAGUCUGACGGAGCAACGCCGCGUGAGUGAUGAAGGUUUUCGGAUCGUAAAACUCUGUUGUUAGGGAAGAACAAGUACCGUUCGAAUAGGGCGGUACCUUGACGGUACCUAACCAGAAAGCCACGGCUAACUACGUGCCAGCAGCCGCGGUAAUACGUAGGUGGCAAGCGUUGUCCGGAUAUUGGGCGUAAAGCGCGCGCAAGGCGGUUUUCUUAAGUCUGAUGUGCCCAGCCCCCGGCUCAACCGGGGAGGGUCAUUGGAAACUGGGGAACUUGAGUGCAGAAGAGGAGAGUGGAAUUCCACGUGUAGCGGUGAAAUGCGUAGAGAUGUGGAGGAACACCAGUGGCGAAGGCGACUCUCUGGUCUGUAACUGACGCUGAGGCGCGAAAGCGUGGGGAGCGAACAGGAUUAGAUACCCUGGUAGUCCACGCCGUAAACGAUGAGUGCUAAGUGUUAGAGGGUUUCCGCCCUUUAGUGCUGCAGCAAACGCAUUAAGCACUCCGCCUGGGGAGUACGGUCGCAAGACUGAAACUCAAAGGAAUUGACGGGGGCCCGCACAAGCGGUGGAGCAUGUGGUUUAAUUCGAAGCAACGCGAAGAACCUUACCAGGUCUUGACAUCCUCUGACAACCCUAGAGAUAGGGCUUCCCCUUCGGGGGCAGAGUGACAGGUGGUGCAU